UUCCGCGUUCGCAGCCAAUCCCCGCGGAGUGGGCGGGGCGGGCGCGAGCCCAGCUGUGGUGGUAAAUAGAAUACAGACCUUCGCCCUAAGGUGUCCACCGAGGACGAAGCUUUCUACACCUUGGAGCUUUCAGCAUCCCUAAAGUCACAGCCAAACGGGCAAGGUCUGCACAGCAGAGGGAGAGCCACCAUCGUUCCCUACUACCCACCGAAUGUUAUCAAGAUAGCAUUUCUGAAGAAAGUGAAAACGCAAAUAAGUUUGCCACGGACAAGUGACGUUUGUAGAGUGAGUUCGGUUUCUUAAAAUAAGGAAAAGCUUUGUAAAACAAAAAUAAAAACAAAAACAAAAACAAAUACCCGUGUGCGCAUUCGGUGGCAGGUUUAGUGUGGGAUCUUGCUAACCCGGAGCAAUGCAGGAGGCAUUAUUGUAAACUCGGUAAAACGAGUCCAUAUUGGAAACCGUGCUGAUCGCUAAGGAGCUCUGAGGCAGGACGCUCUCCGGGUUCCUUUUCUAGAACAGGGAAGGGCUAUUAUAAUGAUGCUGUUAAUCGGAAAUCAUUAGGGGAAUUUGCAUGUUGAAAGUGUAUUUGCAUACACUGCCCUUGAGAGGCUGCCCCUCUGUGCUUUGCAGUGUAGGUGGCAAAGUAAUGUGAUUAAUUAUGCACAAAUCGUGAUUUCUGGUGUCACAUUCCAGCACCUACUGUAUUUUUAAAGCUUUGUGACAGGUAGGUGGCCCCAGCCAUUGGUCGACAGCUUCACACUAUUAAAAGAAAAUUCUGUCAUGUACUAGGUUUGGAAUCUUUUCAGCGCUAGUCCUGGACGGAGCUUCAGGUUGUGUUUUGUUCUGUUUUGUUUUCUUUUUCUAUAAAUCUUUAAGAACUCAUUCCUAUGGUCUCAAUAAAGAAAAAGUUUGCAGUUA